rnacentral:lncRNA from 1 species
UGGUUAUAGUGAGACCUUAUGCUUAAGGAGUCAAGGAAGUCAUAUUUUAGACUACAGAGUUAAGGUUUUUAAAAGAGUUUUGAGGGAGUUCCUGUUGUGGUUCAGUGGUACUGGUAUCCAUCAUAUCCACACCACUGCUAUCCAUGUGGGUGCAGAUUUGAUCCCUGGCCUUGCUCAGUUAAGGAUCCGGCAUUGCCACAAGCUGCAGUGUAGGUUGCAAAUGUGGCUCUGGUCUGGCAUUGCUGUGACUAUGGCAUAGGCCAUCAGCUGCAUCUCCAGUUCAACUCUUAGCCUGGGAAUGAACUUCCAUGUUCUGUAAAUACAGCCCUAAAAAAAAAAAAAAAAAAAAAAAAAAAAAGUUUUGGUAAUCAAAAGCAAAUUUUCAGUUAUUUGGGAAAAUUGUCUAUUCAUGAAUUCAAGAUGGUUCUUUUUGUGUGUGUGUGUUUUUGUCUUUUUAGGGCUGCACCCGCAGCUCAUGGAGGUUCCCAGGCUAGGGGUUGAAUUGGAGCUGUAGCUGCUGGCCUACAGAGCCACAGCAAUACCAGAUCUGAACCGUGUCUUCGACCCACACCACAGCUCAUGGCAAUGCCAGAUCCUUAACCCACUGAGCAAGGCCAGGGAUUGAACCCACAUCCUCAUGGAUGCUAGCUGGGUUUAUUAACCACUGAGCCACGAUGGGAACUCCUCAAGAUGGUUCUUAUAAAGGUUCUGCAUUACCAUGGUUUCAUUGCAGUUUAGGUCUGUAGAGGUGUUAGUUAAUAUAGAGUUCAGGUUGAAAAAAUAUCUGACAUAUCAGCUUUGGCUGAGACUGCUUCAUUUCACAAGUUAUUUAAUUCUGGGUUUGAACGAAGUCUUUGGAAGUGACACUUUUCAUAUCUUUAUUGUCAUGAUGCUAUUCUUGAUAAGGAAUGAGUUCUUGACUAUUUAAAAAUAUCAUAGGUGAUAAAAUGCCCUUAAUAAAUACAUUAUAAGUUUGGCUUUCACAUUUUUAACUUUAAUUUUCAUGCUUGUCUCUUAAAUGCAAAUAAAUCUUCAUCUAGGCAUAAGGUGCCCCCUAAAGUUACUUAGUUGUCUGAAUUGUAUGUCUUUACUUCCUCCUGAUGGGAAUAAGAAUGAAUGAAAUACUGUUUGACCACUUUGGAAAGUGCUCAUGCUCUAUGUUUAUCACAUGAUUUGGGAGAUGACAUUCUUUUCUGGAACUGCAUCAUUCGUACAUGCCAGAGCAUCUUUUGUCUCCCUAGAGAAUAUGUUUAUACUGUAGCAUUUAAUAUCAUAAAUGUGUUUUCGUCCUGCCACGCCACCUACCAGAGAUAUUUGUAAAGAGUGAACUGACAGACUGAUGCAAUUUUGAGGAAAUCAUUCAUUUCCUGUUAUGAUUUUUCCAUAGUGCUGCUUUUUAAUUGUUUAAAAUUGUUUAAAAUUGUUUU